rnacentral:tRNA from 1 species
ACGGAUGUGGUGUAAUUGGUAGACACGUUAGCCUUAGAAGCUAGUGAGAAAUCGUGUGGGUUCAAGUCCCUCCAUCCGUA